UGGAUUGUUGGAAGCCAAAAGAUAAACCGUCUUUUUUAGAGACGUAAGGUCUUGAUGGGGCGAAAACCAUAAAAUGUCGGUCAGCUAAAUUGUAGGAAAAGUAACAAGUCAUGUCAUUGCAUUUUUUGAGGAGCAAUGGUUGUGUCACGAAUUGCUACUUUUGGCCAAAGCAAUUGUAACUCUGAUUCGCUUCUUUCAUUGAGGAACGACUAAUGCCCCUGGUUACAACUAAAUUUACACAGCAAAUCAAAUUUGGAGGUUGGAAAAGUUUAUUUCUCCUUUUCCAACAAAAAUAUUAAGCCACCGUCUUGAACUUUUCAAACGCUAACAAGCACAACAGAAUUCGCCAAAAAGUGCUGAAAAGAGAGAAGGAAUGUGCUCUUUUUCAUUAUUUUUACCAUAACCAUUUGAAUUUGAAGUGCAUUUGUCCAAUGUUACUAUAAACUGUGACUCAACCCCAACUUUCUUGCUCAAGUGGACUUCGAUCUCAGUGGGCUUCACCGAUUUAGAGUGAAGGCGAGACAGCAAUCUUCCCAUUCACCAAGACCCCGGCAUCCGUCGCAACAUCCUCCCCCUCUUUCUCGUCUUCCACAGGACUCUUCUGGUCGAGUUUUCAAACCCUCUGGGAGUUGCACCAUGGCCGAUCGAACAAGAUCGUCAUCUCGACCAUGUACCUCUACCAUUGUGGCAAGGUUCCAUUUUCCCCGUGGUGCCAACGGAUCUACGACAAGCACCACAUUCCCUUCCUUAAGUUUUCGUUCUCAGAUGUCCACUUGCAUGUAGCCAAUGGGGUAGCCAGGUGCUCGGCGUUUCACCGUUUCCAAAUGUCAUCCACUAAAUUUUCCACAUAAUGGAAAUGCUUCCUUUCGAAUUCAAGACUGUUCACAUUAGA